AUGGCGACGUGCAUGUUAUCGUCAAAAAUGUCGCCCAUCAUUAGACUUCUACUGAAAGAGCGGUCCUGUUCCUCGACAACGAUAUGUAACGGUGUGACCGACAUUUUCAGACGAGGCUACUCGACAGAUGUAGAUGCUCUCCAGACUGCUGCAGAAGACAGCAAUGCCGCCGCAGCGUACAGCGGACCGCUGGAGCACUACACCAGUCUGCUCAUGGACUGGGCGCUGCGAGAGGACCCGCAUCAGAAAGCCGUGGUUCAGACCUCGGAUAAAAUGCACAAAACCCUACGAGGUUACAGAAACCAGCUUCGGUUCUCGAAAAACAUUGUCCUUGUCAACCAAUUACUUAGUAUUAGUGGGAAUCUAUUUACCCUGAGAGAAUUCAUGGAAAGAUACAACUUUGAGGUUUCAAGCAAGGAAUAUGACACUGUUAUAAAAUCUAUACCUUGUGGGAUAAAAUAUUUACUUCAGAAUAAUGCAUAUCUAUAUCUAUAUAUAUUGAUGAAUAGCAUAAGGUUACUAGAUAAGAACUUCAACAAUUGUUUAUUAAGGGAUAUUUUCCACAGGAAUUAUAUCCCCUCUGCUAUAUUUUGUUGGACUUCAUCGUUUGAUGUAAACUGGCACCUUGCUUGGCUCACUCCAACAAAGGUAUGGUGACCAUUAAAGUAAAGGAGAUCUCCUUUAAGAUUAUCCAUUGAUUCUACCCGUGUAAUAGCUUGAUUUCUAAAUAUAUACCUAAUACCAGUGAAUAAAGUUAGCUAGAAACUGAAUCUGUUGAACACUUAAUUCUGUCAUUGUUUCAUAGUGAGGUGUUCUGGACUGAUGAAAAACUAUAUCUUGGAAACAUAAUGCAUUCAACCAUUGAAAUAUCUAAGUUUGACAUAUUGUUUUACUACAGUGUUUCCGCAAUUGCGUGUCAGUAUGUUAUAAAUAUCUUUAUUUUAUUAGGAACAUUUUUCAUACACAAAUGAUUUCAUGAAGAAAAAGCCCAUUUUAUUUUUGUAUCUGAUUUGGAGAACUAUUUCGAAUCAUUCAAACGUAUACAAAAUGUUUAAAAAAAUGUAUUCGCUACAUGUCGGUAUUUGAUAUGUGGAUUUGUAUUUAGUUUUCUUCUGUCUUUUGUGUAAUUCCUCUGGCUGUUCUGUUUCGCAUGUUACUGUUUAAUAAAAUUAUAAAUACAGCAACCAGCCUACGUCCAUCUUUUUCGAAGGUAAUC
rnacentral:lncRNA from 1 species